AUAGGCAGGGCAGAUUCUGAGAAAUACUUUCCAAGCUUUUGGUGUAAAAUUAAUCUGUUGAAACCUGAAGGUUCUUGCAGUUUCCUAUAUGUGUUUGAGCCAUAAUAUUCAGUGUUCUCCUGGUAUCCUGCAGUUUUCAUUCAAUAUUCUCUUGUGCAUUCCUUCCCCAGUGUCACAGCUGAGUAAAAGUUAGUCUUCUGAAGAUUGGCUGCUCCCCUUUGGCCUGAUCUGGCUCCCUGACAUAGGAAACCUCUUUGAUUUUUCCCUCCCCAGCAAUCCAGCAGAUUUCAGUCCCUGUUUGUUCACUGUGUGAGAAGGCCUGAAUGCUGAGGGAUUGUUGUGGGGUUUUCCUGUAUGUUUAACAAAGGACAUAAGUUGCCAUGAACUGAAUACAAAAGGGGAUGAGAAAGGUUGGGAGCCAUUAUAAAAAAGCAAGGUGGUGCUUUCAAAGGGUCCAAGGGAUGGCUGGAGGAUAUCUGUUUGAUUCCCCUAGCUAAAAAAGGAAGCAUAUGGUAAUAUGGCAACCUUCAGUUCUCAUCAAAGAUUAAAUUUUUUUCAGCAAAAGUGAAAACUGGAUGGGAGAAAAAAAAAAGGUCAUUAUUGAAUUUUGACCAGUAUAAAUAUUCUCAGUGUAGCCUUCUUUUGCAGCAUAGCGUCAACUGGAGCAGACAGUCUCUGUCUUUGGCCCUGCUCCAGCUGGGAGGGAGAUUUGUGUUCAGUGUCUCUCUGAAUCAGCUGCUGCAGGAGAUGUUCCUCUCCUGGGUCAGAGUCAUUCCACAGCUCACGCCAUGAUACAGCAAAGAGUGCUGUCUUCCCAGCACUGUGCUGGAAAUCCAGUUUGGAAAAUGGAAAACUUUCCUCUGGGAUGUGACUUCAGACCCAAAUUGCUCUGAUCGAUCCCUAAAAUCUUCAAGGCACUUUGUUUUCAGAAGCAUUUUCCCUUUCUCUCUUUGCUCAGGUGGCCUUGCCAGCACACCCAGCUCUCAGCACGGCUGCUGCUCUGCCCCUGCAGCCUGGGAGAAGUGGAGGUUCAGGCACUGAACCAACACAGCAAUAAACUCUAAUUGUUUAGUGCACCUUGCCUUCUAAUACAAUUUAAAUCCCUUCUCUCAAAUGCAAAUUUCUAGGUGCCUGAGUGGAGCUUUAAAUAGCAUUUUCUGUGCUCAUUCCAUGUGUUUUGCCGUCUACAAAGUUCCAGUGACAGUGGGAUGGCAUAAUUCCACCCCUGUCGUUUUAGCUCCUAAAGGAAAGCUGCCUACUCAAAUCUGGCAAUAAUGGGCCAGAUGAGGAGUGAAUUGGUGCUUUUCUGUGAAGUCUGUGUCUGUCUUGCCCUCCCCAAGUUGUUAUAACCCACGAGUGUUCUCACCAAAAGCUGUUCAGCAUCCAGUGAUGCUUGCAGGAUGCAAUCAGUGCAAUAUUUUAAUCACUUUCAUUUUAGUGAGUCAGACUCUGCUUCCUACUUGCUCCCUUCCCUCUCUCCUAUGAAUAACUUGGUACAGUUUAGGAUCUUGGGCUGGCUUUAGACAAACUGCCUGCCUGUGUUCAGAAGAAAUGCAAAUCCUUGGCUGACAGUAGCUGCUUUGGAAAUCACUAAGUCAUUGACCUGAUGUGAAUUAAAGGCAAAAAUGUCAAACUCUUUAAUGAUUUGCCCUAUCUAAGUUUUUGACUGGGAGGAAGAGAAGCUUAAAUUGCUCCACUGAGGAUAAGAAGUAUAGGGAUGGCUGGAAUAAUGGGAACAGGUAGGAGCAGCUUUGUAAGAUAGAUGGGGAACAGUGUCUAUGCUCCAAAUCUGAGCAGCUUGGGAAGUGAUGAGGGCUGUUCUCUAGAUUGUGCAUCACAUGUUUGAAUUUUACUAUUACUUCAGAGGCUGCCAAAAUUAUCAGGGGAGAAAAAAUCUACCUGGAGCUGUUCAGAAUCUAUUUUUGGGGUAAAAUAACAGAACAUUUAGCUUGGCUCAGUAUUAAAUAGUCUUUUCCAAACUCCUUCUCAUUGUUACCUCAGCUGUAAAAUGGGGAGUUUGUGCUCUGUUGAAGCUUAAUUAAAUGACUCUGAAGUGCUUUGGGAUCCUGAGGUGAAUGUUAAAGAAAUUAUUUUAUGGAAGCCUGGCUGAAAAGUCCCAGCUCAUCUCCAGGUUACUAAAAAGGCUUUAUUUUAAUUUUUCCAGGUUUAUUAUGUUUUAAUCAGACAAUUAUUAAACAAAUCUUAAUCAGAUUUAAUAGAUUUCUAUCUUGAUCAGAGAGGGCUAGAAAAGAUAAUGAGCUGCUUUACUACAUGUGCUCUUAGGAGCUAAUCUUUGCAGUUGGUAUCUUGCUCAGCUUCUGUCUCCUGCAUGAUCUGGGUUCAUAUCCUCACAGAUUACUCUUGUGAUAUCUUUUUUAUCUUUUUUAAAAUAUAUUUUUUUUUCAUCCUGGUGCCUUAGUGCUGUUUGCUCUGUGUACUAACCAGCACUGUUAACAUCUCUCACAUCAUUUAUCCUCAUUCUCUCCUCAGGAACAAAGGGUGCAAUGUGACAGUGGAAAAUUUUGUGUAGUGUGCCAUGGGUUUGUCAGAGAACGCUGGAAGGAAUCUCUGCCUUACCACUCCAUGUGCAAGGAAUAACUUGUUCUGGGUGAUUGCCUCUGGCCCAGCAGAGAACUCCCUGCAGCCUGAGCAGUGGGAUCUGAGCCACCUUCUCACCUCUUCGGGGAAAGGAGUUUGCUGCUGCAAAACAACAUCCCUCCUGGUUCAUAAGGAUUUACUGCUCCUGAGGAGACAGCACAAAAAUUCUGUUCUGUGGCUAGGCCUUUGCAUAACCCUGUGGAGCUGAUGGCAUGGAAUCAAGAGAGCUUCACACAGAGCAGGGUGGGAGCCUGGCAGCAGGGCAGAAGAGGAGAGUGUUCGAUGCCUGGCAUGCCAUGAAUUAUGCACUUCUAUACCAUGAAUUAUCAGUGUAGGAAAUAGCCUGGACAACUCCUGAGUAACAAAGGCACCAUUUGCAUCCCUGAGUGGUGGUGAAUUCUAAUGCUUGUAUUUGUAUUGCUACUCUGACUGUAGCUGUAGGAACUGUUUCAUUCAGGAUUCCAGUAGUAAACACUUGCUAAGAGGUUGCUUUCCCUGCCUGCCUUGUUUUCACCACAGUCAUCUAGUGUUUACAUACAUUUUAGCCUCUGUGCCAUUUUUGAAGGCUUUAUUUGUCUCAUUUAUGUUUCUGGUUUAGAUAAUACUUAAAUAUGAAAUCCAUCUGGGAAACAUAUUGUAUAUUCACGUUGAGGGGUAAAACCAGUUUUUAAUUAAAAUUUUAUACAGCACUUGUA